rnacentral:lncRNA from 7 species
GGUAAACAUCUUGUCUGGCCUCAAGGGCUUUCCCUACACGUUCUCUCUCCCUCGUUCGAUGUCGUGCCGCUGCUCUGCAGUCUGCACCCACGCCACCUUCCCGAAGGCGGAAAUCCUGACUCAGACCCCUAAUCUCAUAUUCCUAUGCACUUCGCAACCGUUAAUCCGUUAUAGGAUCAAGGAUCCUACCACCAGAUGCUAUUGUCGAUGAGCGCCUGGUACUCGUACUCCAUGGCAGCAUUCUAGUUGAGGUCAGCCAACGCGUUGCAGUAUUUGCUAGGGAGUGAAGAUGUCGACAUGGCAGAGCGACCCUUGUAGUUAGUAGUUACACAACACAAGUCUGUAAUCGAAUCACCGCCUGUUGGAGGAGGGGAGUUGUCGACGUCGUGCCUUGCAUAGGCCGUGGAUGCGGCGAGCGAAGGCAACAGCUCAACAGCAUGAAGAGGCCGGCCAGAUGUCCUAGUUGGUGUUGUGGCUGUGGAGUACAAGUAACAUGUAUAGAUAUACAUGUGUUAAACUAUAUAUAUCUCUUAUAUAAUAGUUUUAUUAGUGUGUCUAAACCUUGUAAAACUUUGUAAGGCUGUGUGCAUCCUAAUUAUACAGAGGCCGGGAGUGUUUCAGG